rnacentral:ncRNA from 1 species
CACUCUGGAGACAUCCGGGCCCGACCCGGAGGCCGAAGGUGCAAGGGGUGGCUGACCACCGAAUCUCUCAGGCAAAAGGACAGAGCA